AUGAACAAUGCCCUCCUCUCUCCGUAUACGGCUGAUGAUGUUCGUAAAGCCUUGUUCAACAUUGGGGAUUUGAAAGCCCCAGGGCCUGAUGGGCUCCAUGCUAUUUUCUAUAAAAGGUUUUGGCCAAUGUUAGGAGAUGAUCUGAUCGAGGAGGUUUUGAAAGCAGUAAACACUUGCACUAUCCCAUCUGGUUGGAAUGAUACUACGAUUGUGAUGAUACCAAAAGUCAAUUCUCCGGAGAAGGACUGCCGGCCAAUGUGGGUUUAG
rnacentral:rRNA from 1 species